CCCCUUUUCUCUCUCUCUCGAUCUCCCCUCUCAUGAACCCCUCUUCUCUCCCUAACCAUCCUCUCUCUUUCUGAAUCUCACAAAGACUUCCCUCUCUGACGCCAUAAUCCGCGUCCAUUUUAGUCCUUGCAUCAAUGGCAUCCGUCUCUAUGACUUCUAUCUAGUUCGGAUCUUCGUUACAGCAAGCAAAUUGGAGUCGGGUACCUGGAAGGAUUUCUAGUUUGAGGUUGGUCUCUGUUGGUAGGGUGAAGAACGUCAACUUCCCAUCUCUGCGGACCUCCCGAGUCCAGAUCUGUUGUGCGGCCAAAAAGGAGACAGUUGACAAACUCUGUGAGAUUGUGAGGAAGCAACUGUGCUUGCCUGCUGAGAUAAGUUUUUUUUUUUAAGAAGAAAAGGUCAUGAAAAUUAUGUAUAUAUACCCACUUUGUGAAGAGAAUGGAGAUCUCAUGAACUAUUAUUGGCUAAAGAUAUGGGACCUAGUCCUUAAAUGAUGGGACCCAUUGGUUACUGCACAGGUCCUAAAUCUAGAAACAGGUGGUUUUAAUUGUUUUGUCAGUCCUCAACUCUUCAACGUAGUAUUUUUGUUACAUUGCAUUGCUAUUUAUCAUUUUCGUAUGUAUGUUACCCAUGUUAAAAUCUGAAACUUUCAGAUUAUAUGACUGAAUUGUUGAAA